rnacentral:pre_miRNA from 1 species
AUGCUACUCCCUCCGUCCGAAAAUACUUGUCAUCAAAAUGGACAAAAAGGGAUGUAUCUAGAACUAAAAUACAUCUAGAUACACCCAAUUUUAUCCAUUUUGAUGACAAGUAUUUCCGGACGGAGGGAGUACCUU